rnacentral:rRNA from 1 species
GCAGUCGAGCGACAGUGUUCUUCGGGACAUAUGGAGCGGCGAACGGGUGAGUAACACGUGGGCAACCUGCCCUCAGCUCUGGGAUAACUCCGGGAAACCGGGGCUAAUACCGGAUAUGACCUUUCAUCUCAUGGUGUUUGGUGGAAAGUUUUUCGGCUGAGGAUGGGCCCGCGGCCUAUCAGCUUGUUGGUGGGGUAAUGGCCUACCAAGGCGACGACGGGUAGCCGGCCUGAGAGGGCGACCGGCCACACUGGGACUGAGACACGGCCCAGACUCCUACGGGAGGCAGCAGUGGGGAAUAUUGCGCAAUGGGCGAAAGCCUGACGCAGCGACGCCGCGUGAGGGAUGAAGGCCUUCGGGUUGUAAACCUCUUUCAGCAGGGACGAAGCGAAAGUGACGGUACCUGCAGAAGAAGCACCGGCCAACUACGUGCCAGCAGCCGCGGUAAUACGUAGGGUGCAAGCGUUGUCCGGAAUUAUUGGGCGUAAAGAGCUCGUAGGCGGUUUGUCGCGUCGGCUGUGAAAUCUCGGGGCUCAACCCCGAGCCUGCAGUCGAUACGGGCAGACUAGAGUGCUGUAGGGGAGACUGGAAUUCCUGGUGUAGCGGUGAAAUGCGCAGAUAUCAGGAGGAACACCGGUGGCGAAGGCGGGUCUCUGGGCAGUAACUGACGCUGAGGAGCGAAAGCGUGGGGAGCGAACAGGAUUAGAUA